GGAAAGGGAAAAGUCAGGGAAUUUGUUAAAAUUUUUAACCAGGAAGCUUCAAACAAACCCAAAUUCAAUGUGGGCUCUCAAACUCGAAGCUCUAGAUGGAAGGAGAGAGGCAAAUUCAAGACAGAAGAUGAUGCAAGUGUUACCUCAACUCAGGUAGAUGAGUUUCUUAUGCUGUUAGAGAAACAACAUUCUGAUACAAGGAACAACGACCAUAAGUCCAUGGAGAUUUCUUCUGGACUUGAGGAUGGGUCAGCGCCAACUGC
rnacentral:misc_RNA from 1 species